AUAACGACGCCUCAAAAGCUUGCUCGAGCGGCCGCCAGUGUGAUGAAUAUCUGCAAAUUUCCCCCUUCUGGUUGACCCUGCCAAUACCGAUAUGCUUGUCUUUAAGAUUAAGCCAUGCAUGUCUAAAUAUAAACCAAUUAUACGGUGAAACUGCGAAUGGCUCAUUAAAUCAGUUAUAGUUUAUUUGAUGAUGACUUGCUACAUGGAUAACUGUGGUAAUUCUAAAGCUAAUACAUGCUUCAAAGCCCCGACUUCUGGGAGGGGUGAAUUUAUUAAAUAAAAAACCAAUGCGGUUCGCCGAUCUCUUGGUGAUUAAUAAUAACUUCUCGAAUCGCAUGGCCUUGUGCCGGUGAUGCUUCAUUCAUAUAUCUGCCCUAUCAACUUACGAUGGAAGGAUACAGGCCUACCAUGGUUUCAACGGAUAACGCGGAACAAGGGUUCGAUUCCAGAGAGGGAGCCUGAUAAACGGCUACCACAUCCAAG
rnacentral:rRNA from 1 species